rnacentral:lncRNA from 1 species
UGGGUAAGACAUCGUACCAUAUAUGAUCCUGGUAGGAAUGAAGCUGGAUGGGCACAAGAUAUCUAAAUUUGAUGGGAAUAGAGGAGGAAUCAAUCUAAGACACACGAUAUGGACUGGGAUGAUCCAGAGGUAUUAAUCCUAAUCGCUUAACUAUGUCAGUGGAGAUGGCGUUGAUAUAGCUAUCACUAUCAAUGAUCACCUUACAAAUUUUAUCGCCAAAUUUUAUGAAGGUAUGAAAAAUAGAGAUCCUACGCCAGUCUUCACUUUUCUUAGU